CGCGUCGAUGAAGCAGAAACGCAUGUGCGCCCUCCACUGCAUAGCACCCAGCAGAAGGGCAAGCUUCGCCGGAGCAUGCUUUCCUGUUUUGAUGCGGCCGCGCUGCGCCGUACAGUGUAGCGAAUAUCAAGCUAUGUCAGGAAUCAGAAAUACCAGAGCAACAACCUGGUUAUCCGGUCAACCAUUCAUUUACGGCAAAGCAACCUUGACUGUGGGACACUCAGCUACAAAUCAGGAGAUGGACAGCAACAACAACGCGUUUGCGAGUGCGCAACUUAUCAAACGGCGCAAGAUCGCGGAACUUCUGAGUUUGCAUUGUUGUGUGGACGUGUCGGAGAUCUGUUCCGUCCUUCUGCUAAUGUGAACAGACUCGAACAAGAUCCUUCAGCGCGUGUCUCUGUCCGACCUGACGUACAGAACUAGGGUAUGGCUACUGGCGUUAAACCAGCCCCACUGCGUUUCAGACAGGGAGCGGCCCGGGUUAUGUGAUUGCUACUGCCAUUGACUUGUCACCACAAAACAGUGGAGAUUCCGGUUAGGCGGUCCUGUUUUGCAGGGAUGACGCUUGCAGGCCAAUUGAUAAAUUCUGUUGAGGGAGGACCGAGAAAUCAAGAAGACAGAGUGGCCGGAGUGCUUGUAAAAUGCUGAAGGGACGAACGAGACAAAUCCUGUCUCUUCCCCGUUUCUGGGAGAGAAAUCCGAUGGGGGGACGGUUAUGCAACGCACGUGGUUUUAUUCUAUGCUGGAAAGCUGAAUCGGCCUCCACAUGCUCCCAAUAGUUACGCUAAGGGAAGAAGUGUGUGUGUUCCGGUGCUAAGAUACCAGCAGCUAUCCUACAUGAAAACGGGCUCAAGGAAGGUUCUAUCUAUUGCCCGCUUCUCGGUUUUUAUUCAGUGAUCCCUAUGCUCGCCAAGAAAGAAUUUUCCCUAGAAGUGGCUGAGUAGGUUUUCAUCGACCCGCAUCCAAACACCUGCAGAUGAUUUUGUGAAUUACUUCGGGCAAAGAAAGCUGGUAAUCGAUAGCUUGUAUGGCCAGUAGAAUCGCUUGCUUUUCUGUAUCGUGACUAGUGAAGUCUCUCCAGGCACACUGUUCCGUUGUUACCUCCGGGGUCGUGGGAAGAGGAGUUCGAGAGCAGCCGCUGGCGCCAGUAGGUCUUCGCCUCCACAACGUAGGCUCGGUGUUCCCUGAAUGCCUGCAUUAUGCUGAUUUUGCUGGUGCAUGGUGAAGGAUAACAUGCUACCAUAAUUGCAUGAAAGUAAGACUAGGGAACACUCUGCAUUUUGUCCUUUGUAAAAGAAAUCCGUCUGCUGGUUAUUCCUCCUUGUUCGCUGCAGCUUGGGUAAAGCCGGCUUCGCAGGAAACAACCAAACAAGACAGUUUGGUAUUUCGAAUGUGGCCGCCCAC
rnacentral:lncRNA from 1 species